AAAGGAUAUGGAUACACCCAGGGUGGAAACCCCAAGCCAGUGAAUCCAGCCUUUGGUAGCUAUCUGAACGGUUAUGGAAAUAAAAAUAAAGGAUAUGGAGGCUCAAUGGGAGGAGGAGCCAGACCUCACCCAGGU